rnacentral:rRNA from 1 species
AGAGUUUGAUCCUGGCUCAGGAUAAACGCUGGCGGCGUGCCUAACACAUGCAAGUCGAACGCCCUUAGCAAUAAGGGAGUGGCGGACGGGUGAGGAACACGUGGGUAUCUACCCAAAGGUGAGGAAUACCGGCGAGAAAUCGCCGACAAUACCGCAUACGUUUCGAUCACGAAACAAAGCUCGUCAGAGCGCCAUUGGAU